rnacentral:lncRNA from 1 species
AAAAGGAUAAAAUAUUAAAAAUACUAAAAUGGAGAGAGAGAGAGAGAGAGAGAGGGAGAGAGAUUUUCCCCUUCAUCCAAAUUGCACCCCUCAUAUCUCUUUACUCUCUCUUCAACUCAAAUAAAAAAACAUAAUUACUAAAAAGAAAAGAAAAGCAAAAUAUAAAGAAAAAUGUUUUCUUCGUUAACACCUUCGGCUAAGCUUCCUCUUUUCACCACCAUACCCUUCACCACACAAAAA